ensembl:snoRNA small nucleolar RNA SNORA77
GCAGACUCACUCUGCAUCCGACUGCAGUCCCAGGCCGGGUGCUUUUUCUGUCUGCCAGAGAAACUCUCCUGGCUGUUGUGAGCGCCUUGGCCUGUCUGAGGCAGCACACUGCCCGGGGACACAUGU